AGGCUCCUAGGACAGAGAUAUAAAAAUGUUAUUACUCACAGAAGAAGCAGUAGCCAGAGCUUCAUAUCCCUGAGUUGCCACACGUAAAGAAGGAGGAAGGUCAAAGUUAUACUUUCUUACCAUUCCAAGCUGAGUGUGGUACACACUGAUGAUGGAGAAGUUUGGGAAGAAACUUCCUAAAAGCCUGCAGGUCUUCAGGACACUGAGUUCUUCUUUACAAAGUGAGAAAAUAUGUUGGGCAGUGAAGGGAAGAAGAUUGAGGAAAUGCUCAUGAUUAUGAGAACUGAGAAUGGACUUGAAAAUAAAAGGCUUUCUGAAGGAGACUAAGUGUUCAUCAUCCAUUGAGUAAGUAUGUCCUGAGUAAAUACAUGCUGACUGAAUAAAUAUUGGAGGUAAGUAGUUUGCAUUCUGAAAAAUUAUGUGUGUGUGAAUAUAUGGCUUCAAGCAUGACUAUGCCAGUGGUGUCCAGGUAUAAUUUUAAACUAUUCAAUGUGCACACAGAUGAUACCAGUGGUGAUUUAAAAAUUCCCUCAAACAGGUCCGGUGGAAAGGAAUGGCGUGUCGGAAGAUGAGAGCAGCCCCAGCAAUUGGGAGGUGGCGGAGUGAGUCGAGAGCCCUCUGGAUCAGAGUCAGAAGAGGACAUGAGCAGAUAUAAUGAACUGAUAGCUAGUUCUUCCUGUGUGUUGGCACCUUUCCCGGGUUGCUGAGUUUGAAUACUGAGGAACAUAUGCAGACAGGAAAAUAUCUGAUAUGGAUAUGGAAAGGGUCACCAUGGACACAACCACCAAGAAGAAG